AUCAUGCAACCUUUCAAUCAGCAACAAAGCCUUCCUGAAGCAUGACUCUUGCUACAUUUUCUUUAUAGAUGGAACAGUAAUCACAUUGGUUUUUGAGAACAAUGGGCCACAGCAACAAAACUGUGAUGACCAUGACUAUGCUAGUCAACGUUUGUCAGACGUUCCACUUGUGGCACCCAGCCAAGCUAGUGAACAUCCUUCAGAGCCUGAGCUGUGGAGCGAACGGAAAACAAGAUUUUUAAUUAACAAAUAUAAGGAGCUUAAAGAUCUUGUCGGCAAAAAGGGUGGCUUUCGCACGAAAAAGGCCCUGUGGCAAACACUUGCCGAAAUGAUAUCUAGAGAGUUUGAAUGUCUGUGUAGCCCGCUGCAAGUACAGAACAAAUGGAAAAGUCUCGAGCGGGCUUACAAACGGAACAAAUAAAAAAAUAACUCUUCAGGAAGUGGAAGGGUGUCUUGCGAAUUUGAAGAGUGAGUACAGGUUAUAUUCAGCUAUUCAUCACCAUAUUAGCAAUAUUUUUUUAUUUCUAAAGAACUGAGUGAUGUUCUAGAAAAAGAACAUCACAUCACCCCGACAGUAUUGAUUACCCCAGGAAGGGUGAUUGAAAAGAACAGGGACAGCCACAAUGCAAGCGGGCCUAGUGAUCAUACACCAGUAAGUGCAUCUGAGGAUGCAGAACCUGCCAGACCAGAAGGUGCGGCUGCUGCAUAUUCUGGCUCAGAAGAACCUGCGGAACACGAAGACCCAGCUGCAGCUGAAGAAGCGUCAAGCCAACCCCUUAAAAAAAGGAAAAGGGUGGAUUGCACGCCAAUUCAGUGUCUCCUUCAGGAAUUUAGAGAAAGCCGGAAAGAGAGGGAGGAGCGGUCGAAGGCAAAAAUGAGCCUUCUUGAACGUCUAGUGACUGCUGUAGAAAGCCAAUGUA
rnacentral:lncRNA from 1 species